CAGCGCCACGAGUGGUAACCACGUUUAUUGGGCCUAAAGCGUCCGUAGCCGGUUUGAUAAAUCUUUUGUGAAAUUGUACAGCUUAACUGUACAGCGUGCAAGAGACACUGUCAAACUUGAGACCGGGAGGAGUCAGAAGUAUUCCAGAGGGAGCGGUAAAAUGUUAUAAUCUCUGGAGGACUACCUGUGGCGAAGGCGUCUGACCAGAACGGAUCUGACGGUGAGGGACGAAAGCUAGGGGAGCGAACCGGAUUAGAUACCCGUGUAGUCC
rnacentral:rRNA from 1 species